GCCAGCAUGGCAUAGUGGUUUGAGUGUUAAACUAUGACUCUAGAGACCAGGGUUUGAGUCCCAGCCUGGCC
rnacentral:tRNA from 1 species